rnacentral:rRNA from 1 species
AACGAACGCUGGCGGCAGGCCUAACACAUGCAAGUCGAACGCCCCGCAAGGGGAGUGGCAGACGGGUGAGUAACGCGUGGGAACGUGCCCUUCGGUUCGGAAUAACUCAGGGAAACUUGAGCUAAUAACCGGAUACGUCCGUAAGGAGAAAGAUUUAUCGCCGAAGGAUCGGCCCGCGUCGGAUUAGCUAGUUGGUGAGGUAACGGCCCACCAAGGCGACGAUCCGUAGCUGGUCUGAGAGGAUGANCA